rnacentral:rRNA from 1 species
UACGUAGGGACCGAGCGUUGUCCGGAAUCAUUGGGCGUAAAGAGCGUGUAGGCGGCCACUUAAGUCCUGCGUGAAAUCUUGCGGCUCAACCGCAAGCGGUCGUGGGAAACUGGGUGGCUAGGGUGCGGGAGAGGAGAGUGGAAUUCCUGGUGUAGCGGUGGAAUGCGCAGAUAUCAGGAAGAACACCCGUGGCGAAGGCGGGUCUCUGGGCCGAUACUGACGCUGAGGAGCGAAAGCAUGGGUAGCGAACAGG